rnacentral:lncRNA from 1 species
GUGGUUCCCUGUUCCAUGUUUCCCCGUGGUCAGCAACACCAAACAAUCCCUGAUCAUUCUGAGAGUCAUCGGUUGGAGAAGGGAGAUAAUACAGAACGGGGAAACAGUCUGUAACACUGGGGUAAAUUCAGGUCUCUCGGGGUCUGUCAGGAUUCCCAUGAUGCAUCUUGUCGGUUAUAAGGACUGGGCUGGGCAGUGUGAAUACCUUUUUUAAUGGUAUUUGUUAAGCAAAGCAGAUUAGUGCUCAGAGUCACUCAUUCACACACACACAAACACAUACCCUAAUCACUCCCUGAGAGAGGGGCGAUUUGAGGAAAGUGGCUGAUAAAUGCUUCCUCAGCCUUGUCGUGACAGAGUCUGACUGCCCGCGAGCUGCCCUCUCAGCCAACAAGAGCGAUGGAGAAUGGCAAGUAGCAUAGGGGGUCGCUCUCGGGCACUGGGGCUUUAAGGUUAAUUCUAGAGCUUGGACUGGAGUGCUUCGUAUAGGAGCUGGUGGAAAGGGACAGCAAGAUUCAGCAUUCCCUGCUUCAGCCCUGGAGGCCACUUCGAAUUUGCAAGAAGCAACAAACAGAGCUGCAAAGGAAAGUCCAACACUAACCCAACCCUGUCAAGCAGGAUUUGGAGAAAUGUCAGUGAGAACCAUGGUGGUCAUCCUCAUACCAGGUCCACACCUGGAGCACUGAACCAGGAGCAAUCAACAAAGAUGCUGUCUGAAUGUCACCUUCAUUUCUGAGCCCAUCAUUACUGUUUCCCAGCCCUUCAUCAGUGUAGAAGUCAAUGAUGGUGGUAAAGCAGGACUGAUAUGAAAUGCGGAAAAUUUGUCAAUACCUAUUCUUAUUCUUUAAACCCACUGUCACAUCUGUCGGGGACAGACCUGCAGACAUUCUGAUCGAUUCCCUAUCAAAUUAACUCUGUUUUAUGUCAUAUCUCAUUGGCUGCCUCGUUUCAUUCUCUGUCCUUUUCUUUCUCUGUCCUCUGCCCCGUCUCAUUCUCUCGUUUCCCCAGAUCGCUCUGCCAGAAACCACUUCCGAAU